rnacentral:rRNA from 1 species
GAUCAUGGCUCAGAUUGAACGCUGGCGGAAUGCUUUACACAUGCAAGUCGAACGGUAGAGGGGGCAACCCUUGAGAGUGGCGAACGGGUGAGUAAUAUAUCGGAACGUGCCCAGUCGUGGGGGAUAACGUAGCGAAAGCUACGCUAAUACCGCAUACGAUCUACGGAUGAAAGCGGGGGAUCGCAAGACCUCGCGCGAUUGGAGCGGCCGAUAUCAGAUUAGGUAGUUGGUGAGGUAAAGGCUCACCAAGCCGACGAUCUGUAGCUGGUCUGAGAGGACGACCAGCCACACUGGGACUGAGACACGGCCCAGACUCCUACGGGAGGCAGCAGUGGGAAUUUUGGACAAUGGGCGCAAGCCUGAUCCAGCAAUGCCGCGUGCAGGAUGAAGGCCUUCGGGUUGUAAACUGCUUUGUACGGAACGAAACGGUGAGCUCUAAUACAGUUUGCUAAUGACGGUACCGUAAGAAUAAGCACCGGCUAACUACGUG